GACAGGCCUAACACAUGCAAGUCGAGGGGCAGCACAAGGAGCAAUCUGAGGUGGCGACCGGCGCACGGGUGAGUAACACGUAUGCAACCUGCCUGUAAGCGGGGAAUAACCCGUUGAAAGACGGACUAAUACCGCAUAAUACUAAAUUACUGCAUGGUAAUUUAUUUAAACAUUUAUGGCUUACAGAUGGGCAUGCGCAUGAUUAGCUAGUUGGAGAGGUAACGGCUCCCCAAGGCAACGAUCAUUAGGGGUUCUGAGAGGAAGGUCCCCCACACUGGUACUGAGACACGGACCAGACUCCUACGGGAGGCAGCAGUGAGGAAUAUUGGUCAAUGGACGAGAGUCUGAACCAGCCAAGUCGCGUGCAGGAAGAAUGUCCUAUUGGAUUGUAAACUGCUUUUGCAGGGGAAUAAAGUGCAUCACGUGUGAUGUUUUGUAUGUACUCUGCGAAUAAGGAUCGGCUAACUCCGUGCCAGCAGCAGC
rnacentral:rRNA from 1 species